CAGCUGCCAUGGCGGCGCCGGGCUGUGAGGAGCCGCGGGCGGCUGGCGCCGGGCCGGGGCCCGGGCCGCUUCACCCCGGGCUGCCGCCUCACCCCGGCCUGCCGCCUCACCCCGGCGUGGCGCGGCGGCGAGGCCGGACGCUGCUGGUGCGGCACCUGCCCGCCGAGCUGACGGCGGCGGAGAAGGAGGAUCUGCUGAAACACUUCGGGGCGGUGUCUGUGCGCGUCCUGUCGGACCACGGGCGUCUGAAACAUACUGCUUUUGCUACCUUCCUCAGUGAAAAUGCAGCUGUGAAGGCUUUGUCAAGACUGCAUCAGCUGAAACUUUUAGGCCACACCUUAGUUGUUGAAUUUGCAAAGGAGCAAGAUAGUGCGCAGGUACUUAGCCAACCUUCUGUCUCAGAGAAGUGUAACAGUUCAGAAGAACCAGUGAAAGAAGAAGAGAAGAAAGAACCAACUUGUGUUAAAAUAGAGAGUGGAAUUGCACCAAACCAUGGCCUCACCUUUCCGAUCAAUUCCUGCCUCAAAUAUUUGUAUCCACCACCUUCAAGUACAAUUCUAGCAAAUAUUGCAAAUGCCUUGGCAAGUGUGCCUAAAUUUUAUGUCCAGGUACUUCACCUUAUGAAUAAAAUGAAUCUUCCUCCACCUUUUGGACCAAUUACUGCUCGCCCUCCUAUGUAUGAUGAGUAUUUACCAGUGCCUGUGCCACCGCCCCCAAUCCCACCUUUGCCUCCUGAAGAGCCUCCUUUACCUGAAGAAGAAGAGCCACUAUCUAGUGAAGAUGAAUCAGAAUAUGAAAGUGAUAAUGAGGAGGAAAAGGAGAGAAUGACCAAGCUGAUGGAAUUAGCAACUCUUCAGCCUAAAAGACCAAUAAACACAAAGAAGCGUGGUGUUAGAAAAAGGCAAAGAAUUAAAGACUUGCUGAAUAUUCCUGUGUGUACUCCCCACAGUAAUUUGCACCCUACACUGUCACCUUCAGAUGUCUUUGAGCAGCCACAGCAUGUAGGUCAUAGGAAAAUUGAGUUCCAUAUUACUACUGACAUCCCAGCUGUUCUUCAGAACAACUCAGAAAAAGAGAAAAAUGACCUUUAUGCAGCUGCAGAGGAAAUCAAUAAUACAGGCUUUGGAAGGAUAUUUCCAGCUCCUAGCUCAAAUGAUAAGAUGGAAACUGAAGAGGAGGAAGAUGAAAUACCAUCAGAAUUUAUUUCUAAAAGAGAUCUAGAGAAAAACAGGCUUUCUAGAGAAGAAAUGGAAAAAUACUCUGUUUUCAAAAACUAUGAGCCAGGUGAUCCAAACUGCAGGAUAUAUGUGAAGAAUUUAGCUAAACAAGUUCAAGAAAAGGAUCUCAAGUUCAUUUUUGGAAGAUAUGUUGACUUCCAGUCAGAAGUGGAACGAAAUAUGUUUGAUAUACGUUUGAUGAAAGAAGGCCGUAUGAAGGGACAAGCUUUCAUUGGACUUCCUAAUGAAAAAGCAGCUGCUAAAGCUUUAAAAGAAGCAAAUGGAUAUGUCUUAUUUGAAAAGCCCAUGGUGGUUCAAUUUGCUCGUUCAGCUAGACCAAAACAGGAUGCCAACGAAGGGAAAAGGAAAAAGUAGAACACUGCGCAAGAAACAUUCCUGCGUGUAAAUACUGCAGUAAUACUGUCAUGCAGAGUGUAUCCUUUCUUGUUGUAUCCUUUUGUUGUGCAAUGUUUCCUGCAGCGCUCCGCUACAUCUUUUCAUACCGAGUAGGCAUGGGGAGGAGUUUACCUGGUGUAGAGCUUGAACUAAUGGUCCCUUUUGUGUUCCAUCUCUUUCAAGUGUUAUCAGCCUGAGGGGAGAAGCAGUGUAAUCGUCGGGACUCUUGAACUGUGCGUAGUAACGUUUCUAAAGUAUCUGAGGCAGAGUAUAAAUUUUCUCAUCCUAAAGAUUUCAGCUACCUUUUAAACUGUUCCAAGACUUAAAUGUAUGUUAGUUUGCUUGUGAAAUCUCUAAUAAAUUAUUUCCUUUCUCUUCA